UCCUACGGGGGGCAGCAGUGGGGAAUACUGCACAAUGGGGGAAACCCUGAUGCAGCGACGCCGCGUGAGUGAAGAAGUAUUUCGGUAUGUAAAGCUCUAUCAGCAGGGAAGAUAAUGACGGUACCUGACUAAGAAGCCCCGGCUAACUACGUGCCAGCAGCCGCGGUAAUACGUAGGUAGCAAGCGUUAUCCGGAAUGAUUGGGCGUAAAGGGUGCGCAGGCGGAACCAUAAGUCUGAAGUAAAAGCCAUCGGCUCAACCGAUGUAAGCUUUGGAAACUGUGGAUCUGGAGUGCAGGAGAGGACA
rnacentral:rRNA from 1 species